rnacentral:tRNA from 1 species
GAGGGGCGGUUCAACCAACAAGAACUGCUAAUUCUUGUAUCUGAGUUUAAAAUCUCAGCCCCCUUA